rnacentral:rRNA from 1 species
GACGAACGCUGGCGGCGUGCUUAACACAUGCAAGUCGAACGGAAAGGCCCUGCUUUUGUGGGGUGCUCGAGUGGCGAACGGGUGAGUAACACGUGAGUAACCUGCCCUUGACUUUGGGAUAACUUCAGGAAACUGGGGCUAAUACCGGAUAGGAGCUCCUGCUGCAUGGUGGGGGUUGGAAAGUUUCGGCGGUUGGGGAUGGGCUCGCGGCUUAUCAGCUUGUUGGUGGGGUAGUGGCUUACCAAGGCUUUGACGGGUAGCCGGCCUGAGAGGGUGACCGGCCACAUUGGGACUGAGAUACGGCCCAGACUCCUACGGGAGGCAGCAGUGGGGAAUAUUGCACAAUGGGCGGAAGCCUGAUGCAGCAACGCCGCGUGCGGGAGGACGGCCUUCGGGUUGUAAACCGCUUUCGCCUGUGACGAAGCGUGAGUGACGGUAAUGGGUAAAGAAGCACCGGCUAACUACGU